rnacentral:tRNA from 1 species
GGAAGCAUGGCUACAAUGACAAAGCACUUGCCUUAUAAGCAGAAGACCCUGAGUUCAAAUCCUAGUACUACUA